AUGGCUCGUGACAAGUCCGGCGGGUUGAAGGCGGCCAGCCUCAUUCUCCGCAUCGCCACGGUGGCGCUGUCGGUGGUGUCCACGGUCACGAUGGCCUCGGCCACCCAGCCCGCCGACGCCGGGAGCCCCGCUGCCCUGAGCAAGGUCUCCUACAGCGACUACAACUCCUUCAGGUAUUCCGUGGCCGCCAACGUGAUAUCCGCAGCUCUGCAGGCGGUGGCGGUGUACCUGACCACGGUGCACGGCGGCAGGAAGCAGGAGGCCAAGGCAGCCAAGUCGCUGGCCGAGCUCGUGGACACGGCCGUGCAGGUGCUCCUCUACUCGUCGUCAGCGCUGUCGUUCGCUGUGGUCGACUUCGGCUCCUGCGGCGGCAGGUGCCCCGGCGUCUGCGAGACGGCCGAAGCAUUCUGCUGGCGGGUCCGCGCGUCCGGAGCUAUCUCGAUUGCGGCGGCCUUCGCCUUGUCGGCGUCGCUGUACAUCAAGGAUGUGCCCAUUUCGGUUUCUUUGGACGGAGAUGAACACAAGUCAGGACCCGGUUGUGGGCGUGGCUGCCAUUGCCACCAUUAG
rnacentral:rRNA from 1 species